UCCCUGGUGGUCCAAUGGCUGAGACCCCACACUCCCAAUGUAGGGGGCCAGGGUUCAAUUCCUGGUCAGAGAA
rfam:Ovis aries breed Texel chromosome 14, whole genome shotgun sequence.